rnacentral:rRNA from 1 species
GACGAACGCUGGCGGCGUGCUUAACACAUGCAAGUCGAACGGAAAGGCCCUGCUUUUGUGGGGUGCUCGAGUGGCGAACGGGUGAGUAACACGUGAGUAACCUGCCCUUGACUUUGGGAUAACUUCAGGAAACUGGGGCUAAUACCGGAUAGGAGCUCCUGCUGCAUGGUGGGGGUUGGAAAGUUUCGGCGGUUGGGGAUGGACUCGCGGCUUAUCAGCUUGUUGGUGGGGUAGUGGCUUACCAAGGCUUUGACGGGUAGCCGGCCUGAGAGGGUGACCGGCCACAUUGGGACUGAGAUACGGCCCAGAAUCCUACGGGAGGCAGCAGUGGGGAAUAUUGCACAAUGGGCGGAAGCCUGAUGCAGCAACGCCGCGUGCGGGAUGCCGGCCUUCGGGUUGUAAACCGCUUUCGACUGUGACGAAGCGUGAGUGACGGUAAUGGGUAAAGAAGCACCGGCUAACUACGUG